UGGUUCAGCUGGUAAAGAAUCUGCCUGCAAUGCAGGAGACCCAGGUUCGAUUCCUGG
rfam:Ovis aries breed Texel chromosome 4, whole genome shotgun sequence.